rnacentral:rRNA from 1 species
UACGUAGGGGGCAAGCGUUGUCCGGAAUCAUUGGGCGUAAAGAGCGCGUAGGCGGCCCAGUAAGUCCGCUCUGAAAGUCAGAGGCUCACCUCUGGAUGCGGGUGGAUACUGCUGGGCUAGAGUCCGGAAGAGGCGAGUGGGAAUUCCUGGUGUAGCGGUGAAAUGCGCAGAUAUCAGGAGGAACACCGAUGGCGAAGGCAGCUCGCUGGGACGGUACUGACGCUGAGGCGCGAAAGCGUGGGGGAGCAAACAGG